rnacentral:rRNA from 1 species
UACGGAGGGGGUUAGCGUUGUUCGGAAUUACUGGGCGUAAAGCGCGCGUAGGCGGAUUAGAAAGUUGGGGGUGAAAUCCCGGGGCUCAACCCCGGAACUGCCUCCAAAACUACUAGUCUAGAGUUCGAGAGAGGUGAGUGGAAUUCCGAGUGUAGAGGUGAAAUUCGUAGAUAUUCGGAGGAACACCAGUGGCGAAGGCGGCUCACUGGCUCGAUACUGACGCUGAGGUGCGAAAGUGUGGGGAGCAAACAGC